rnacentral:misc_RNA from 1 species
GUGAAUCAUCGAAUUUUUGAACGCAAAUUGCACUUUCUGGUAUUCCGGAAAGUAUGCCUGUUUGAGGGUCAGUUUAAUAAAAAUCGUUGUUGUUGCUGCUUUUCGUGGUGACUCUGCGGAAUUUAGUUGUUUUACCUUGGGUUAAGUGACUUAAAAUUUUGCUUUAUUUUCGAUCGUAUGUAAAUUUCUUACGUUCGUUUUAUAUAUCGAAUACUUUAUUAGGUUCGGUCAUCCUCAUACUUGGCAGCUAUAAUUUUUGAUUAAAUGACCUAAAAUCAGGU